rnacentral:rRNA from 1 species
UACGAGGGGGGCGCGCGUUGUUCGGAAUUAUUGGGCGUAAAGGGCGCGUAGGCGGUCGGAUAAGUCUUGUGUGAAAUCUUCGGGCUCAACUCGAAGUCUGCACAGGAAACUAUCUGGCUUGAGUGUGGGAGAGGUGAGUGGAAUUCCUGGUGUAGCGGUGAAAUGCGUAGAUAUCAGGAGGAACACCAAUGGCGAAGGCAGCUCGCUGGGACGGUACUGACGCUGAGACGCGAAAGCGUGGGGAUCAAACAGG